rnacentral:lncRNA from 1 species
AUGAGGGGGAAGGCCAAUGAACAAGUGGUAGGAAAGAAACAAGAAAAUUAUUGGUAGUUAAAGCUGUACAUGACGUGGUUGAAAUGCUUAUCUACAAAGCUAUAGUACUAGUAUUUAAGUUGUGUUCUGACGGUUACCAAGAGAAGCAAAAGCCCUUCAGACCGUAGGAGUAUCUUUCUACUCUAAUUUCUUGAUCGGUGAGAUUUAAUUUUUUUUUUCUAUUAUUAUUUCAUCUACAUAAGCUAUAAUUUUAUUUUUGUAACUGAACAAGUUGACAGUUUCCUAACCUUGUUUUCCUGAUAAAUUUACGGUUUAGGAAAGAUUUAAAUAAGAAAGAUUUAAAAGAUUCUUUUAGAUUCACGAAAACUAUCUUUGCUAAAAAAAUAAUUAAAUAAGAUAUUAUCUAACUCAUGCGGUUGGUUAGCUUGAUCCAAAAGUUGGAGCCAAGAAUCAUGAUCUAACUCAGGUAUAAAGUGUAUUAACUUUCUAACCAUUUGACACAAUUUGGUCUUAAACGUCAAUGUGGCCUUUUUUUUUCACAAGAUUGCAUUAGUUGGUAGUAAGUUAUGCACGAUAGCAAGUCGACGUUGCUCCAUAAAUUUGAAUCUGAAAGGCUGAAACCUUUCACAUGGACACCUAAGUGUCCCCCUCAUGACCACAUGAGCUAAAGCUCAAAGUCUCAAUAUCUUCCUUACCAACAACAAUCUUUCUCAAAUUCCAACUUUUCACUAGUAAUAUUAAGUGUCUACCAAGCUACUCCUCUAGGGUACGUUGGUUCUUCAAAACUGAAAACAACCACCAAAGAGAAGCCUAAAAUGUUUCAUUCUUUUAUCCAUGCUUCAGUUUUCUUGACCUUUUGUGGAAUGUGAUUUGCAGGACUAGAGAAUGGGAAAGUGUGUUCAACUUGUGGCCAAGUGGGUGUUGCUUAUGAUCCUUGUGCUCAUCAUGUUGACCUCAACGGCAACUAUUGCCUCAGCUGCACCUACUAAAGGAAUGCCCCGCCGUAGCCUGAUAGGCUGUCCCUGCCCUAAAAGGCCAGUUUGUUGCCGUCAUCCUGAUCAACGAGAAAUUAUGUGGUGAUUCUGAAACACAUGGUCUACAAGAUCUUACCAACAUACAAUGGAGUUACGAAGUUUUGUGGUUGAUUAUGAAUUUGUAGUUUAUUUAUUAUAAAAAUUUUGUUAUGUGAAUUGUUAUGAUUAGUUAAGAAAUAUUGUGGUUUGGUUAUAAAAAUGUGGGUUUGUAUAAUGUAUCCAAAAAAAAGAAGUGUAUUUUAGGCUUUCCGUUAUCUUAUAUAUCUUAGGGUAGAUGUAACAUAAAUCAAUAAUAUAUAUCCACCUUUAGAAGUAUUGAUAUAAUUGAACACGACAUGAGAAAAAUCCCUUGGCACAUGGGUCGAUUUGCUCAAUAGAAAUCAUAACAUUCAAACACUUGGCGUCCGUACACUACAACCAAGUUCUCAGCCUACAAUAUCAAUUAGAUCUACUCUAAACCAUGAUCCAAUAAUCAUAAUAACAAGCCAUUAACGUAAUCUAAAAUAGGCAAGUGAUUUAACGUGGAAAACUCUCCUCGGGAUAAAAAUCAUGGGACCCAAGUUCGAAAACAAUGCACUAUAAAUAAAUAGCAGAUACAGGAGUUCUUACAACCACAAUAUGUUAAUCCUCAGUUAUAACUAAGACCGCUCUUGCCAAAUACUUGCAAAUUGCUUCUUGUAAUUGAAUUCCCUUUGGUCCAAACUCGAUCUAUCAAUUGGAAUCCACCGUCCUUGCAAUUGAACCAUGUCAAAGGACUUGUAACUGAGUGGAUAGGUGUUGAAUUAGUACUCUUGAUCAGAAGAUGAAUUGUAGCUAAGUGAUCCAUGGAUCUUCAUUAAGCUUCUCAAACACACACUAUUAAGCUUGUAGAGAUCUUGGAAUCAUAUUUGGAAUAUGAGUUUACCCUUUCUUUUGAAGUUAGAAUUUUCUCUCUCUAGUUAGGUCUAGAAUGAAGGAACAAGCAUUUACAUACACCAUAUAGCUAGAAUUUCGCUCAAGCAGCAUUUAAACGGAAGAUUCAUAAUACCUCUUUCAACAUCUUUACUCAACAUGUUGAACCAGGGCUGAACCGCAAGUUCAGUAUCUCAAGUUUAACAUAACCAUUAACUCACCCAAAUUGCGUUACAAGUCCAAAUUCGAUGCUAAGCUCUUACAUGGUAAGAAAUAGCCUCCAAAACCGCUCAACCACCAUAAGAAACAUGCUAUACAACAAAUCCACAUAAAAUAUAGAAUACAAUAAAAAAUUAUAUUUUCUCUGCGAUAAGCCAAACCUAAAGAGGUAAGCGAAGAAACCCAACACAACCAAUUAAAUAGGUGAUUAAUGUUAACCUUAGGGGUUGCUUGACUGAUAACAGCCGUGUUUUUUGGCAUUUUUGUUCAAAUCUUUUAUCGUGUUAGUUAAGAAAUAUUAUGACUAGUUAUAAAAAUGUGUAUAUAUGGUGUACCUGUUAUUUUACAUAUCUUCAAGGUCGAUGUAACAUAAAUGAAUAAUAUUUAUCCACCUUUAGAAGCGAUUGAUAUAAUUGAACACAACCUCAAAAACAUCCUUGCACACAAGGGUCAAUUUUCUGAAUUAAAUUUUCAAACUUGAAUUGUUACAUAAUAAGUUAUAUGUAGCAAUUUAACAAACACUUGGCGUCUGUAGGCUACAACCAAGUUGAGACUUACAAUAUUAAUGAGAUCUAUUUGAAACCAUGAUCCAUCAAUCACAAUAACAAGCCAUUAACAUAAUCUAACAUAGGCUAGCGAUUUAAAGUGGAAAACUCACCUUGGUAUACAAACCAGGGGACGAAUGUCGGAAACAAUUGCAUUAUGAACAAAUAAUGGAAACAAAAGUUAUUACAACUACAAUAUAUGAAUGCUCACUUCUGAUUAAGACCGCUCGUUUCGAAUCCUUGCAAAUCGCUUCCCAUGCUUGAAUUUUCCUUGUUCUAAACUUGAUCUAUCAAAUGGAAUCCACCGUACUUGCAUUUGAACCAUUUCAAAGGACUUGUAAUUGACUAAAAAAUUGUUGAAUUACACUUGACCACAAGAUAAAUUGAAGAUUAAUGAUCCAUGAAUCCUCAUUAGACUUCUCAAGCACACACCAUUAACCUUGGAGUAUUUGGAACAUGAGUUUUCCUUUUUCUUUUAGUAAGAAUUUUCUCUCUCAAGUUAGGUCUAGUGCUUGCUCUGAUCUGAUGUUAUCUAAUUAUUACAGGCAGUUUUUAUGAGUACGAACCUUUCAAUGUAGCAUAAUACUUGAAAGUCUCAAGAUCAUAUCCACAAAGAGCUGGAAAUGCAAGAUUAAGUUUUAUUGCUAGUGAAAAAAUUGUAAAAAUAUUAUUUUGAGAUUUUUGAAAAAUUAUGUAAAUGAGAUGUAAAUUACAAAUGUAAAAUGGCAU